rnacentral:lncRNA from 1 species
UGGUAUCAGAGUCUCGUUUCUCAUAACUAUUCCUUACACAAAGACUUUAAAAUAUUAAAUACAAACUUUCACCCAACCCUUUCUUGUGAAAAAGAAGUACAAAGACACGAGAAAAUGAGGUCCCUUACUGAACAGGGCAGCCCGAGACAGGUCACUUUGAAAGGAUAUCGAUCAGCUCUUCGAGAUUUUAGAGAGACUCAUCCCUGCCUAGUAAGUCAGAGAAAAGAGGAGGAAAUUGCUUG